GAAGUGUGGCCGAGUGGUUUAAGGCUCUAGUCUUGAAAACUAGCGUGGGGGGAACCCCACCGUGGGUUCGAAUCCCACCGCUUCC
rnacentral:tRNA from 1 species